UAAAAACCCCGACUUCGGAAGGGGUGUAUUUAUUAGAUACAAAACCAAUGCCCUUCGGGGCUCUUUGGUGAUUCAUGAUAACUAUACGAAUCGCACGGCCUUGCGCCGGCGAUGGUUCAUUCAAAUUUCUUCCCUAUCAACUUUCGAUGUUUGGGUAUUGGCCAAACAUGGUUGCAACGGGUAACGGAGGGUUAGGGCUCGACCCCGGAGAAGGAGCCUGAGAAACGGCUACUACAUCCAAGGAAGGCAGCAGGCGCGCAAAUUACCCAAUCCCGACUCGGGGAGGUAGUGACAAUAAAUACUGAUACAGGGCCCUUUCGGGCCUUGUAAUUGGAAUGAGUACAAUUUAAAUCCCUUAACGAGGAACAAUUGGAGGGCAAGUCUGGUGCCAGCAGCCGCGGUAAUUCCAGCUCCAAUAGCGUAUAUUAAAGUUGUUGUGGUUAAAAAGCUCGUAGUUGAACCUUGGGCCUGGCUGGCCGGUCCGCCUCACCGCGUGCACUGGUCCGGCCGGGCCUUUCCCUCUGUGGAACCCCAUACCCUUCACUGGGCGUGGCGGGGAAACAGGACACUUACUUU
rnacentral:rRNA from 1 species